UUUCCGUAGGUGAACCUGCGGAAGGAUCAUUGUCGAUGCCUAUCAAAAAGGACGACCCGCGAACCGGUGAGACCCUCGGGCGGGCGGAGGGCGAGCGUCGCCCCGAGCCCCCCUGCCGGGGACUCUCUCAGCCCCGCGCUGCCUGAGUCCGCCCGGCGGAAUAACAAACCUCGGCGCCGGACGCGCCAAGGAACUCGAACGAAGGAGCGCGCUCCCGGCGGCCCGGAGACGGUGCCCGCGCGGGGAGCGUCGCGAGAAAUGUAUCCAAAACGAAUCGAGUCUUUGAACGCAAGUUGCGCCCGAAGCCAUUAGGCCGAGGGCACGUCUGCCUGGGUGUCACACAACGUCGCCCCCUCCCCGCCGCCCCCGAGAAGGCGAUCCGGGCGGGGCGGACGAUGGCCUCCCGGGGGCGACUCGCCCCGCGGAUGGCCGAAAGACGAGCCUGCGGCGCGGACCGCCGCGACGGACGGUGGAAGAGCGAAACCUCGAGACCGGUCGCGCGCGAGUCCCCUCCCUUGGGCAGGCUGCGAGACCCUACGGCGUCGUCGCGUGGCGCGGGCGCCUACGACGCGACCCCAGGUCAGGCGGGGCCACCCGCUGAGUUUAA
rnacentral:rRNA from 1 species